AGCAGCUAAUUAAAAACGCCCUAACAGGAACCCACUCAGCGUUGAAAUUAUAGAACCUACAAAUCACCAAAUUGGUGAUAGAACACAGCUCUUAGAGCUCGAAUAGGCGGAGAAUGGAAGGAAAAACACAUGAGGAAAAUGAAACUAGCAAAGUUGCAUGCCCUAGGUUCGAGACUGUUGAAGAAAAAGGGGGAAAGCGACUUACCAAUCGGAACAAGAAAUUGUUCGGUUCAAAGUGAAGCCCAUGCCACCGCGAUCGUUU
rnacentral:lncRNA from 1 species